CAAUAGCGUAUAUUAAAGUUGUUGCGGUUAAAAAGCUCGUAGUUGGAUUUCUGCCGAGGACGACCGGUCCGCCCUCUGGGUGUGUAUCUGGUUUGGCCUGGGCAUCUUCUUGGAGAACGUAGCUGCACUUGACUGUGUGGUGCGGUGUCCAGGACUUUUACUUUGAGUAAAUUAGAGUGUUCAAAGCAGGCCUACGCUCUGAAUACAUUAGCAUGGAAUAACACGAUAGGACUCUGGCCUAUCUUGUUGGUCUGUAGGACCGGAGUAAUGAUUAAGAGGGACAGUCGGGGGCAUUCGUAUUUCAUUGUCAGAGGUGAAAUUCUUGGAUUUAUGAAAGACGAACUACUGCGAAAGCAUUUGCCAAGGAUGUUUUCAUUAA
rnacentral:rRNA from 1 species